GGAACACAUGUACAAACAUGUAUUUCUGACCCUAUAGUUUUAAAAACACUAUUUAGCCUCCUGCCCUCCUUAAAUAUGGUGAAAACUCACCUUAUUUCCAGCACUGGCAUUUGGCUCUGCCUCCUUGGCUGACAUCAUCAGAAUUGAUUAUCUCAGCCAAUUAGUGCUUUCCCAUAGGUUCCUGCAGAGCAUCAGUCAUGUAUCGUUGGGUGAUACUCUUGCUGUAAAACUCAUGUUUCCUUGCCCUGCUUGAGCACUAUUAAUUCAACACUAUAGCGUCAGGAAAACAAACAACAAGCUAAAGUGCUUUAGGGGUCUGGAGUUUCCCUUUAAGAAGUUUGCAUACCCCUGUUUGGGAAGCACAGGCAAGUUUCAAUACCAGGUUAAACGUCCCCAACACUUAAAGGGAAACUAUAGGCUAGGAAUACAAAACUGUCCUGCGACACAGAAUGGGUUUUUUGUCACUUACCUGAAUCCAGCACAUGUGUCCCUGGAUCUGGCUCCACCUCCACUCCUACACAGACGUCAG